GCCGCACACUGAUUAAAGCUUGAAGCUGAGGCUGUUUGGCCAUUGAACUUUCAAGUGUCAGAAGUGUGCUAAAUUAACUUCAUGGCAGGUCUUUCGCUAACACCGGCAGAGCCUCGAGCUUGAUGACCGGAGUUUGGUAGUAGUCUCUGCCACAUUU
rfam:Xenopus laevis strain J chromosome 4L, whole genome shotgun sequence.